AUUGAACGCUGGCGGCAGGCCUAACACAUGCAAGUCGAGCGGAUGAGAAGAGCUUGCUCUUCGAUUCAGCGGCGGACGGGUGAGUAAUGCCUAGGAAUCUGCCUGGUAGUGGGGGACAACGUUUCGAAAGGAACGCUAAUACCGCAUACGUCCUACGGGAGAAAGCAGGGGACCUUCGGGCCUUGCGCUAUCAGAUGAGCCUAGGUCGGAUUAGCUUGUUGGUGAGGUAAUGGCUCACCAAGGCGACGAUCCGUAACUGGUCUGAGAGGAUGAGCAGUCACACGGGAACUGAGACACGGUCCAGACUCCUACGGGAGGCAGCAGUGGGGAAUAUUGGACAAUGGGCGAAAGCCUGAUCCAGCCAUGCCGCGUGUGUGAAGAAGGUCUUCGGAUUGUAAAGCACUUUAAGUUGGGAGGAAGGGCAGCCAGCGAAUACCUGGUUGUUUUGACGUUACCGACAGAAUAAGCACCGGCUAACUCUGUGCCAGCCACCGCGGUAAAAC
rnacentral:rRNA from 1 species